ACUACUUGGAUACCCGUAGAAAAACUAGAGCUAAUACAUGCUAAAAGUGAUGCUUGCAUCACUGAGCAAGUUACAGAUACAAACCAAUAUUUGGUGAUUCAUAACUUUUUUUCUGAUUGCCCUUUUAGGGCGACACACCGUUCAAAUUUCUGACCUAUCAACUUUGGAUGGUAAGGUAUUGUCUUACCAUGGUUGUGACGGGUAACGGACCGUGGGUGCGGGACUCCGGAGAGGGAGCCUGAGAAACGGCUACCACAUCCAAGGAAGGCAGCAGGCGCGCAAAUUACCCAAUCC
rnacentral:rRNA from 1 species